CCGGAGCGCGGUUUCCAUUUUGGCUUUUCCAAAUAACAACACGAGUCUCCUCGGCUGGGGGGCGCGCAGCUCCGCGCCGUCAGGGGCAGCGUUACGGAGCGUACGGAGGGGGGUGAUUAGCGUUGGGAAAAACAUUGGCAGCUGCCUCGGCCAGCCACAAGGCCGCCGUGCCAGACAGGAAGCCGGCCUACGUGGAAGCGCCGUCUCGCAGGAGUUAUGAAUGGUCGGACGUGCCUGCCGUGAGCCUAAACCCUCGUGUUCUGCCCCAGAUAGUCCUCGUCGUGCUUCGCCCUCCCGCUCGCAACCAAGGUAAGCACAGGGGCAUACCUUUUGGUCCUUGUGGUGUAAAAUUGUUCAAAAGAGCAGCUGCAGGCCUCGUCCGGUGAGGGUAAGCUGUCGUGCUUGUUGCCAGACUCGCUUUAGAGGCACAGAAACUUGCCGUCAUCGGUGCCCGUCCAGCCCCGCUGGCCGUAAUCGGCCCGAUCCUCGCUCUCCGUAUUAAAAUCUCUCCUUUGAUCAUAGAAACCCAGGAUCAUCUUUUACCGAGAAACUGAGCAGAAUGGCUGUGGGAAGGUAUUUGUGAAAGCGUGGGGGGGGAAGUUAUGAAAACCAUGUGCGUGUGCGUCUUUGCUUUUUUGUUUAAGGUCCCUGAGGCCGCCUUGCUAGCUUCGCUGCUCUGGCACGCCCCGUAAAUUCAGUCUUGCCUCGAAGUGUUCGAUACGUCUCGUGUGCCGUGGCUGUUUUGUCGAACUGGCACGCGAGUUGGUGUGCUGUGUUGGAAGCUCUGCGUCAGCUGUGAGGGUGGGGGGCCCCUGCUCCCUGCUUACCUCGUGCUUUUGGGGGGCCGGGGGGGGUGAUGGGCACGGGCUCGCCACCGAAGGGCUGCAGUUAUAAGCUGCCCCCGAAGGGACUUUUGGCAGGAUUUCGUGUAAAUGUUUAGCAUCGGUACCACUUGGUGCCAUCUUGCGGGACAGCAGCGUGGCUUCCGUAAAAGGAAAUUCAAGGAAUGGAUUAUUUUUGAGAAAUGCGGUGCUCGCUGGGAUUUACUCGAGGGCUCUCUGGUGAGCGCGCAGCAGGAUGUGAGCUGCCUGGAGCUGGGGUCACUGGGAGGGAAGUGGCCGCGAGCCUCGCCCCUCCCCGCCGGCAGCGUGAAACCCAACUUUUCUCUCUUUCAAAAAGGAGGAAGCUCUGCCUCGGAGCCUGCAAGCGCUCGCAGGAGUUGCAGAGACGAGCAGAGCGAUUGCAGGAGGCUAAGAACGAAGACAGUGUUCUAGCGCUGCCAGAGCAAUGACUCCUGCCUGUGGAAGAAGGUGUUGUACAUGUGAUAUCAUCUUCAAGCAAUGUCAGUGAUGCUUUUGGUCUGUCUUUUCUUUCUUUCUUUUUUUUCUAGUGCCAAAUGCUUCAUUUAGUUCAGUUGCACUCAAAAACCGUAAUUAAAUAUGCUGAAUCUGCUUGAAGUCUUAGCUACUAGUUUUGCUAAUGCCUUCAGACAGAUGCUGAAUCGUCUGCAAGAUGAUUGCUGCUGUGUCGAGCUCCGCAGCUCUCAAGAAUGAUGUCUGUUAGGAAGAGGAAGUUGUUUGUAGGGCAGACGCUGCCUUGAUACCAAAUAAGCCGUAUUAAAAUUCUCUUCACCCUGUGCAAAUGAUCAUUUCUUCUGGAAAAUGGUCUAAAAUGGUCUAUGUUUGCUUCUUGACAUGUGCAGGGUUUUUUU
rnacentral:lncRNA from 1 species